GCAGAAUGUUUGUCUGUUUGUUACAAGUUUACAAGGAUGUGAAUGGAAUGGUAGUAACUACACUGCAUAUCAGGGUUGUGACACAAACAGAUAGCGUUUUAGAGAUUGUUACUUAUUCUUGUUGCUGAGUUUUGGACAUAGCUAAAGUUAAUUGUGAAACAAAAGAAUUGAAAAAAGAAUUCCAAUUUUUACUUGAUUCAAUUGGUAAACUGCAAACUUUCUUUCUUUGUUCACAAUUUAAUUUAAUUGCUUUUGAUUUUCAGUAGGCCAUUGGUUUUUCUCUUUGGUAUUGCAUAUACUUGUCUAAGAUCUCAAUUGAAGAGUAUUAUUACUGUAUCAUUUUUCUGGAGGAAUUGAUUUUUUUUUUUAUGAGGA
rnacentral:misc_RNA from 1 species